rnacentral:rRNA from 1 species
UGGGGGGCACCCUGAUCAGCCAUGCCGCGUGAGUGAUGAAGGCCUUAGGGUUGUAAAGCUCUUUCAGCUGGGAAGAUAAUGACGGUACCAGCACAAGAAGCCCCGGCUAACUCCGUGCCAGCAGCCGCGGUAAU